rnacentral:rRNA from 1 species
UACGUAGGGUGCGAGCGUUAAUCGGAAUUACUGGGCGUAAAGCGUGCGCAGGCGGUUUUGUAAGCCAGAUGUGAAAUCCCCGGGCUUAACCUGGGAAUGGCAUUUGGGACUGCAAGGCUGGAGUACGGCAGAGGAGACUGGAAUUCCUGGUGUAGCAGUGAAAUGCGUAGAGAUCAGGAGGAAUACCGAUGGCGAAGGCAGGUCUCUGGGCUGA